rnacentral:rRNA from 1 species
CCUACGGGUGGCAGCAGUGGGGAAUAUUGCACAAUGGGGGAAACCCUGAUGCAGCGACGCCGCGUGAGUGAAGAAGUAAUUCGGUAUGUAAAGCUCUAUCAGCAGGGAAGAAAAUGACGGUACCUGAGUAAGAAGCCCCGGCUAACUACGUGCCAGCAGCCGCGGUAAUAAGUGGGGGGCAAGCGUUAUCCGGUUUUACUGGGGGUAAAGGGAGCGUAGACGGCAGUGCAAGUCUGGAGUGAAAGGCGGGGGCACAACCCCCGGACUGCGCUGGAAACUGUACGGCUGGAGUGCAGGAGAGGUAAGUGGAAGUCAGAGUGUAGCGGUGAAAUGCGUAUAUUAGGAGGAACACCAGUGGCGAAGGCGGCUGACUGGACUGUAACUGACGUUGAGGCUCGAAAGCGUGGGGAGCAAACAGGAUUAGAUACCCCAGUAGUC